rnacentral:rRNA from 1 species
GGUGUUGAAGGCCCUGCAAAGCAGCAUCGCGGUGGCGGAGCGUCGUUUGCGACGCCCAACACACAAAACAAGCGGUGAGUGCUUUGGGGUGGGGUGACUGCGUACCUUUUGUAUAAUGGGUCAGCGACUUAUAUUCUGUAGCAAGGUUAACCGUAUAGGGGAGCCGGAGGGAAACCGAGUCUUAACCGGGCGUUAAGUUGCAGGGUAUAGACCCGAAACCCGGUGAUCUAGCCAUGGGCAGGUUGAAGGUUGGGUAACACUAACUGGAGGACCGAACCGACUAAUGUUGAAAAAUUAGCGGAUGACCUGUGGCUGGGGGUGAAAGGCCAAUCAAACCGGGAGAUAGCUGGUUCUCCCCGAAAGCUAUUUAGGUAGCGCCUCGUGAAUUCAUCUCCGGGGGUAGAGCACUGUUUCGGCUAGGGGGCCAUCCCGGCUUACCAACCCGAUGCAAACUGCGAAUACCGGAGAAUGUUAUCACGGGAGACACACGGCGGGUGCUAACGUCCGUCGUGAAGAGGGAAACAACCCAGACCGCCAGCUAAGGUCCCAAAGUCAUGGUUAAGUGGGAAACGAUGUGGGAAGGCCCAGACAGCCAGGAUGUUGGCUUAGAAGCAGCCAUCAUUUAAAGAAAGCGUAAUAGCUCACUGGUCGAGUCGGCCUGCGCGGAAGAUGUAACGGGGCUAAACCAUGCACCGAAGCUGCGGCAGCGAACGUAUCACUUAAAGCGAUUCAGCGGAUGACGAUUGACGGAGCGAAGCGACGUCAAAGCGUAUACAAAGUCGAGUCGGUUUAAGGAUACGUUCGUUGGGUAGGGGAGCGUUCUGUAAGCCUGCGAAGGUGGCCUUUGAGGGUUGCUGGAGGUAUCAGAAGUGCGAAUGCUGACAUAAGUAACGAUAAAGCGGGUGAAAAGCCCGCUCGCCGGAAGACCAAGGGUUCCUGUCCAACGUUAAUCGGGGCAGGGUGAGUCGACCCCUAAGGCGAGGCCGAAAGGCGUAGUCGAUGGGAAACGGGUUAAUAUUCCCGUACUUGGUGUUACUGCGAAGGGGGGACGGAGAAGGCUAUGUUGGCCGGGCGACGGUUGUCCCGGUUUAAGCGUGUAGGUGUGUGUUCCAGGUAAAUCCGGUUCACUUUAACACUGAGGCGUGAUGACGAGGCACUACGGUGCUGAAGCAACAAAUGCCCUGCUUCCAGGAAAAGCCUCUAAGCAUCAGGUAACAUCAAAUCGUACCCCAAACCGACACAGGUGGUCAGGUAGAGAAUACCAAGGCGCUUGAGAGAACUCGGGUGAAGGAACUAGGCAAAAUGGUGCCGUAACU